rnacentral:rRNA from 1 species
UGGGGAAUAUUGGACAAUGGGGGAAACCCUGAUCCAGCAAUGCCGCGUGAGUGAAGAAGGCCUUAGGGUUGUAAAGCUCUUUCGCCCGCGAAGAUAAUGACGGUAGCGGGAGAAGAAGCCCCGGCUAACUCCGUGCCAGCAGCCGCGGUAAUACGGAGGGGGCUAGCGUUGUUCGGAAUUACUGGGCGUAAAGCGUACGUAGGCGGAUGCGCAAGUUGGGGGUGAAAUCCCGGGGCUUAACCUCGGAAUUGCCCUCAAAACUGCACGUCUUGAGACCGAGAGAGGUAAGGGGAAUUCCUAGUGUAGAGGUGAAAUUCGUAGAUAUUAGGAAGAACACCAGUGGCGAAGGCGCCUUACUGGCUCGGUACUGACGCUGAGGUACGAAAGCGUGGGGGGCAAACA